UACGGAGGGAGCUAGCGUUGUUCGGAAUUACUGGGCGUAAAGCGCACGUAGGCGGCUAUUCAAGUCGGGGGUGAAAGCCCGGGGCUCAACCCCGGAACUGCCCUCGAAACUAGAUAGCUAGAAUCUUGGAGAGGCGAGUGGAAUUCCGAGUGUAGAGGUGAAAUGCGUAGAUAUCGAGAGGAACACCUGCGGCGAAGGCGGGUUGCUGGGCCGACACUGACGCUGAUGCGCGAAAGCCAGGGGAGCGAACGGG
rnacentral:rRNA from 1 species